AAACAAAAAGGAAAAAAAAAUCCUCUACACAGCCUUCUGCCUGGAAAUCACCCCUGACAUUUUCAAAUUUACCUUUCUACAGAUCUGGCACAAAAUGAGGAGUUUUUGAGUGUGCUGCUUUCACGGCUCUUUCUUUCCUUCUAAAUGGACCUCUCAAUCUAAGUCAGAGCUGAAGGCUGUCAGCCUGUUUCUACAGUUCUUCCUAUGCUGAUUGUAUUUUAUACUGAGUCUAAAAAAAAAAAAAGCUGUUUAGUAAUGGGAGCCAAGCAGGAAUAAGAGCAAAUAAACCAUGGUUACAUGUUACUUUCUGCAACAGGGGAAGCUGUUGACUGACCUAGAGAAAUAUGGUGAUUAGGGCUUCCUUCUGCUGUUUUAAGCUACUUUGACAAUUCUUCUCUGAUCUGCUACCAUAUGGACUUGGUUCCAUCUCUGUAUUUUUACGGCAGUGAUACCCGGAGUUUUGGACGACCAGUGCUGAAUUUAAUCAGGAACCUGUCUUGCUGAAGUGAUAUGAGGAGCUGUGUGAAGGCUCAUCUUUAUGCAUGCAGUCACAAAAGUGGAUUGUGGUAAGGCUGAGGGAGGAAUAGAUGGACUUGAUUGCAAAGCAGUGCAGACCAAGACUGUCACUUAGAAUCCCAACAUGUGCAUUACUUCCAGUAAGCUGCUGUUACUCCUCAUGGGGGUUAUUUGUAUUACAGAGUCCCAUGCUGUAUCAUAUACUCUUCAGAAAGGUCCUAAGUGCGGGCAGAAAGUUCAUGAGUCAAGACCAUGGAGUUACUUUAACCUUUUCACUCGGAUUGUUGGGGGGAACCAGGUGAAACAGGGCUCACAUCCAUGGCAGGUUUCCUUGAAACAAAGAGAAAAGCAUUUCUGCGGAGGCACCAUUGUUUCUGCUCAGUGGGUGGUCACGGCAGCUCACUGUGUCUCAGACAGGUAUGGAUGUGAUCUUUCAGGAGCAGGCUGCAGGUGCAAAAAAAUGUUGAUUGUAAAAGCGUGUAUAAUGUAGCAUCUUUUUCUGGAGAUUACUCAUGGAUGCUGCCCUUUCAUUUGUAACUAGUAUUUUCCAUUUUUUUAUCAGAAAGGGAGAAAAGACAAAACCUUUGAACAUUCCAAAAAUAAGAAUAAAUGGCCUUUCAAUCUGGAUAGAAACUGAUUAUGAAAUUGUAGAUAGAAAUAUAAUAUCACGAUAACCUAGUUAAAAUUAUCAGGUUAUUACAAUAUUUUUUUCGAGGUAGAAUCUGGCAGCGUAUAUACAGUUAAAUGGUGAAUGGACAUAGUACUGAUCUCUUGCAUUCUGAUAAUUCAGCCUAUGCUACUAAAAAAAAAAAAAAAAAAAAACAACAAAAACUGAAGCUUGUAUUAACUGCAGAAAGACAGGCAGUAACUGAAUUAGCAUGAAGCCUCCAGAUACAGUAAGUCAUCAGGCUGAUGAAUAAAUCUGAAGCAGAAUAGCAAAUUUGUCAUGAUGGCUUGUUGGUUUUUUUGUUUGUUUUUGUUUGAUUUCUUGCUGCAUGUUGGUUCUUGUGAGACCCCAUCCGGAGUACUGUGUCCAGGCCUGGAGACAUCAGUAGAAGAAAGAUGCAGAACUCUUGGAAUGGGUCCAGAGGAGGGCCACUAAUAUGAUCAGAGGGCUGGAGCACCGCUCCUAUGAAGAAAGGUUGAGGGAACUGGGCUUGUUUAGUUUGGCAAAGAGAAGGCUCUGGGGGGACCUCAUUGUGGCCUUCCAGUACUUGGGAGGGAGCAUAGAAACAUGAGGGGGAAUGGCUAUUUACAAGGGUGGAUAGUGAUAGGGCAAUGGGGAAUGGUUUUAAACUGAGACGGGGAGGUUUAGGUUAGA